AGAGUUUGAUCAUGGCUCAGGAUGAACGCUGGCGGCGUGCCUAACACAUGCAAGUCGGACGAUCUGGAGCAAUCUGGGUAGUGGCGGACGGGUGCGUAACACGUAGGUGACCUGCCCUGGAGUGGGGAAUAAUUCCGCGAAAGCGGGACUAAUACCGCAUAAGCUCAUCGGGUCGGACCGGUGAGUAAAGCCGAAAGGCGCUUUGGGAUGGGCCUGCGGCGGAUUAGCUAGUUGGUGGGGUAAAGGCUUACCAAGGCGAUGAUCCGUAGGGGGCGUGAGAGCGUGACCCCCCACAUUGGCACUGAGACACGGGCCAAACUCCUACGGGAGGCAGCAGUGAGGAAUAUUGCACAAUGGGCGAAAGCCUGAUGCAGCAACGCCGCGUGAGGGACGAAGGCCUUCGGGUCGUAAACCUCUUUUCUGAGGGAAGAGCAAGGACGGUACCUUGGGAAUAAGUCUCGGCUAACUACGUGCCAGCAGCCGCGGUAAAACGUAGGAGGCGAGCGUUAUCCGGAUUUACUGGGCGUAAAGCGCGCGCAGGCGGGUCUGUGAGUCGGACGUGAAAGCUCCUGGCUUAACUGGGAGAGGCCGUUCGAUACUGCAGGGCUUGAGGUUGGGAGAGGGGUGUGGAAUUCCCGGUGUAGUGGUGGAAUGCGUAGAUAUCGGGAGGAACACCUGUGGCGAAAGCGGCACCCUGGCCCACACCUGACGCUGAGGUGCGAAAGCGUGGGUAGCAAACAGGAUUAGAUACCCUGGUAGUCC
rnacentral:rRNA from 1 species